rnacentral:rRNA from 1 species
GAAUUUUGGACAAUGGGGGAAACCCUGAUCCAGCCAUGCCGCGUGGGUGAAGAAGGCCUUCGGGUUGUAAAGCCCUUUCGGCGGGAAAGAAAUGGUCCGUGCCAAUACCCCGGACUGAUGACGGUACCCGCAGAAGAAGCACCGGCUAACUACGGUCCAGCAGCCGCGGUAAUACGUAGGGUGCGAGCGUUAAUCGGAAUUACUGGGCGUAAAGCGUGCGCAGGCGGCCUUUUAAGCCAGAUGUGAAAUCCCCGGGCUUAACCUGGGAAUUGCAUUUGGGACUGGAAGGCUAGAGUGAGGCAGAGGGGGGUGGAAUUUCCGGUGUAGCAGUGGAAUGCGUAGAUAUCGGAAGGAACACCGAUGGCGAAGGCAGCCCCCUGGGCUAACACUGACGCUCAGGCACGAAAGCGUGGGGAGCAAACAGGA